AAAAAAAUUUGGUUGCUACAGGGGAAGGCUGAUUUUUAACAAACCUAUAAUGAAGACUAUUCGGAAGGUGUUGAUUAAGUUGAAUGGUAUCAGGUGAAAAAAAAAGGUAAGAAUAAAUUUCUCGUAUAAUUAUGUUCAAACAAUUGGAAGGCUCUUGGAAUACAUAUUAUUUGGGCCGUUUUACUGGUAGAAAAAAAAAAGGAAUUUCCCCAAUGAUUAUAUUCAGAUAAAUAAGAGAUGGUUGCUUAUGCAAUUGCUUUGAAUGAUGAAUUUUAUUGUUGAUGCAAGCCAUCUAGAAUAUGAUGGGAGCUGAAUCAUACUGUUGAAGUUUAGAGUUGCUAGAGAUUAAAAGUUUAGUUAAUCAAGAUAUUCAAAUUUUACAUUAUAGGACUAUGAUUCCAUAAUGUUGGUUGGUUUGGAAGAUCCUUUGUAGUACUAUGAUUUUUCUAAGUUGAAUAUAUUUGAAAUUUUUGUUAUGAAAAUUGAGAUUAUUGUUA